GAAGGAAGAAGAAAAGAUGACGACGCAGAAUAAAGAGAUGGAAGUGGUGAAGGAUCUCGACUUGGAGAGAUACAUGGGCCGUUGGUACGAGAUUGCUUCUUUGCCUUCCAUUUUUCAGCCCAAGAACGGUAUUGACACUCGCGCCACCUACACCCUCAACCCUGACGGCACGGUUGAUGUCUUGAACGAGACGUGGAACAGUGGCAAGAGAGUUUUCAUCCAAGGCUCAGCAUACAAGACUGAUCCUAAGAGCGACGAGGCUAAGUUCAAAGUUAAGUUCUACGUCCCUCCUUUCCUCCCUAUCAUUCCUGUCACUGGAGAUUACUGGGUGUUGUAUAUUGAUCCUGAGUACCAGCACGCCGUCAUCGGCCAGCCUUCAAGGAGUUAUCUCUGGGUAUGUCUUGUUGUGUUUUGUCUCUUUAUGAUGAAUAUGAUAGAAAAAGCUAAGGAUUGAUAUUGAGUAUGUGGGAUAUGUGGUGUAGAUACUGAGCAGGACGGCACAUGUGGAGGAAGAGACAUACAAGCAGCUGCUGGAGAAGGCGGUGGAGGAAGGGUACGACGUCAGCAAGCUUCACAAGACCCCUCAGAGUGACACACCACCUGAGUCCAACGCUGCUCCUAACGACACCAAGGAUCAAAUGCUAAAAUAGACCACAAAGGGUCAAAAAAAUUUGAUAUAGACCUAUUGUUUCUUUAUUUUAAUAAUAAAUAAAAAUUAGGGAGAAAAGACAAUGAGACCUAAUGAAGUCAACCCAAAAAUUUAGAUGUAUUUUGGUAUAACUAAUGCAACAAGUUCAACUACACUGUAAUAUAUAAGAAUAGUACAACUACUCGACAUUAGUGUUUCAAUCAAAAUAUUUAAAAUAAGAUACACAUUCAAAACAUGAUGCAUAUUUAAAACAAUACUAAAUUAAAUAACAAGUAGUUAUACCGGUUUUCUAGUUGUAUCGGUUGUGUAUAGUUAAUAGUUGUACUAGUUUUUGAGUUGUACCAUUUUGUGCAUAGUUGUACUUUGGUAAUAAAAACCAAAAUAUUAAUUCUUCCACAUAAUAAAUAUAUUUAUCUCAGUUGUACCACUUAUUUAUGUUUUCAUGCAUUUGCCCGAUUAUAAUGAAAUCAUCAAUUUUAUAAAAAUACAUUUCAUGUAUGUUUUUCAAAAAUUAUGUGGACAAACAAGUUAACAAACCUUAAAAGUAUAAGGUAUAUCAUGUAAAUUUCUGGAACUGUGUAAUAACUUUUAUUUUAUUUUUUCAAAACUUAUAAUAAAUUAAGAAAAACUUUUUGAAUACAUACCCUUUGCCGUCUGCAAGAAACUGAAAAUCAACCCUUUGCAGUAUGUACACGACUGUUACACUUGUGAACGGUAUUACAAAACUUAUGCUGCCACUUUUUCUCCUGUUCCGGAGUUAUCAGCUUGGCCGGAAGCUUCCGGAGUUCUGAGAUUGUUUCCCCCAGUCAUUCCUCCGCCACCACCGCCUCCAUCUUCUGUAGUACCAUGUAAGGCCCAACGCAAAUCAACUCUUAAGACUAAUAAAAGGAAGAGCUGAGAAAUGUAGAUUUUCAUCUGAAUCGAACCGGACAUUUUGGUAUGUUUAUGUAGUAUCUUGCGACUUUCAGAAGUAGGGUUAAUCCCGGUUUGAAUUUUACGAUGUUGAUGCUGUAAUGUAAGAAACAGAACGUGUGUUGGUGUUUUUUUUUGGUAUGUGAUGAUUAAUCCGGUUUGUGUCAGAAAUUUUGUCGAUCCCAUGAACCGAUACAAAAACAAAGCUAAACCGGAUCGGAAACUGAAGCCAACCGUCAUGUUCUUCACCAUCUCAUUCCGAAUCGUUUCUCUCUUGCUAUCUCACUUCCAGGUGGGCGGUAAUAUACAAACAAAUAACAUGUGUAUGUUAAGCUUAUCCCUUUGCUCUUUAAGAAAGUUUUUUUUAAUCUGCAAGGAGGUGAGUGCGAUCCUAAAAUCCACUUUAGAAAUUUGUUAGUGUUUGUAAUAAGAUUAAAGAAGAAGAAUUUUGUGUACAACAAUAUCCUCAAACCAAAACAAAGUUGACGAAAAUGGACUUUAUGAAUAUAGAUCUCGAAUGUUUUACAAGAUAUGGAAAUGGUAAUCUAAACAAGGCUCAGAGGUGUGUUCAAACAUGUCAUGUCAUGUCUCUCCUUAAGGUGAGCCUCAAACUGAGAAUCAAAAUAAAGAUAAAGACUGAAAUGGGUAAGUGAAGAGUUUGAAGUCGAUAGGUUAGUGUGUUCAAAUAUGUCAUGUCUCCUUGCUCUCAUCUCUCAUCUUUUUUUUGGUUUUUGAUAUUUUCUCUUCUUCUCAUCAUUCCGAUCUCGGAAAUCUCGGACGCUCAGUGGUCACCACGAAAAAAGUUGAGUGUUACAAUCUAGUUAAUCGCACAAUUAUGAAAAAUGUUCUUGGGUGGGCCUAAAAAUGGCAAAAGAAAGUCAAAACAAAGUGUGAAUGUUUGGCUUGGCCCAUUGCAUUGUAUUCUUCUACGGUUCUACCUCCCGCCCAUAGAACAAAGAAAAGAGAAACAGACAUAUGUGUCCUCCUCCUUGUUUCAGAUUACAUCUCUUAGAUGCUACUAGAACCAUUUGCCCUACACGCUUCCCACGUGUCAGUCUCUCUUCCCACAGAAAUCCACUUUGUGGUCUUUUUCUGUUUUCUUUUAUAAAAAAUAAACAGAAUCCCUCUUUCUUAUCCUACUCAAUAAAAUAUCUGAACCUUAGAGAAGAAGGAAGAAGAAAAGAUGACGACGCAGAAGAAAGAGAUGGAAGUGGUGAAGGAUCUUGACUUGGAGAGAUACAUGGGCCGUUGGUACGAGAUUGCUUCUUUCCCUUCCAUUUUUCAGCCCAAGAACGGUAUUGACACUCGCGCCACCUACACCCUCAACCCUGACGGCACGGUUGAUGUCUUGAACGAGACGUGGAACAGUGGCAAGAGAGUUUUCAUCCAAGGCUCAGCAUACAAGACUGAUCCUAAGAGCGACGAGGCUAAGUUCAAA
rnacentral:lncRNA from 1 species